GUCGUCAGUGCUAGGAACCUGCGCCCGGCUGAGCUGAGCGAGGCGAGAGGAGAAAGCGAGGCCCGGGGACGGGACUGAGAGCUCUGAAAGGAGGGAGGCGGCUCCCGAGUACUCCGCGCGGGGCAGGCCCCGGCCUCGCCUCUUCGCCCAUUUUUAAGGCUCGAGUUAGAGGCCACCUCCUCCGAGAAGCCUUCGGUGACACCACCUCUCCCAGACGGUUCCCCUUUCUGAUUCCCACAGCAUUUUCCAACCAUUCACGGGACCGCCACCAUCACAGGCACUCGGUAGAUGUCUGCUGAAUGAGGAUAACUUCUACCCAACACCGUGAAGCCUGGCCCAGGGUCUGGCAUACAGAUGCCGUGUUUGUAAGUCCUGGUUGCUCAUCUCGCCCACUUGCACAGCCCACCUGUGUGGCCGACUCAGGAUUGACCCACCUGCUCUCUUCAGGCCAUAUUCCCACGCAGAAGUGGGUCCCACUCCUCAGGCCUCUGUGCUGGCCCCGUCUGUGGGGUUAGCAAGCAGCCCUGCUCUCCAUUUCCAGCUCAGAAGCAACUGGAUCGUUACCUCAUUGGUGACAACUUGACUGUGCUGCCCAGAGCUGAUAAGAAACAUCACCCGGGGAAGACCAGCUGCCUCUUCCUUGCUUCCUAAUCAGGGUGGAAAUACUGCUAAAUAUAUCACAACUCUUUGCAAGCA
rnacentral:lncRNA from 1 species